ensembl:lncRNA
CAGGCUGCAAACACACGAGCACGCAGACCCGCGCACUAGAACAUAAACAAGGAUAUUUCAUUUCUUCCUUUUUUUUUUUUUUGCACACUAAUAAAUAAACUACUGCAACAACAACAGAAAAAGCAAGCGGAAUCCAAAUAUCCUCUCGGUUGCCAUUUGGUUAUAUAAGAAGGACGAAUUAAGGCGAGCUGGCGGUAAAGAGUCGCUCCAAAUCCAAGCCCCUGCACCGGCCUUAAAUCAAAAGGGAAAAAGUGGGGCAGAGUUCUGCCAGCAGCAAACAUGAUCUGCUUCUGGGGAGAGGACUGUCACAGGUCACAGAACUCGGCCCAGCUAAAAGUCCGCAGCCCCUGCACACCUCCGGGAACCCUUGUUCGUUGUUGUUGUGCAGGGAUGGGCUCCAGGCAGCUUCCUUUGUAAGGUGCCCCCCACCCCAGCCCGCGGGUCGAGCUGCCGGGGCAGGGAGCAAACACCCGCCCCAAGGUACUGGACCACCGGCGUCCCUCUGCCCAGGAAUUUAGGAUUGGGAUGGAGAAAAAGAAAACAGUGUUUAUGAAGAGCCAGAAAGCGUUCUGUGUAAGAAAACUGAGGCUCCAAGAAGUUAACUUGCUUAAGGACACAUGACUGGUAAGUGGAGGAGCUGGAAUGCAAAUUGAGGCAGUUUAGCUUCAGACACUGUGCUCUUAAUCAUUAUGCUCUGCCAUGGCACUUGACAGUCCUAGGGAAGUCAUUUGUGAUGUCUGCCAAUCCUCACCAUCUUCUGAGUGAGACUGUUCCAGCCACGGCACCCCUGGAAGGUGUUUUUCAAUGAAACACCUGACUCCACCCACUUUCAAAGGCCGAUCAGAUGAGCGUGAGCACUUAACCUGAGACAAGUAAAUC